rnacentral:rRNA from 1 species
UACGGAGGAUCCGAGCGUUAUCCGGAUUUACUGGGCGUAAAGCGCACGCAGGUGGCCUUGCAAGUCGGACAUGAAAGCUCCUGGCUUAACUGGGAGAGGUGGUUCGAAACUGCGGGGCUUGAGGUUGGGAGAGGGACGUGGAAUUCCCGGUGUAGUGGUGGAAUGCGUAGAUAUCGGGAGGAACACCAGUGGCGCAAGCGGCGUCCUGGCCCACACCUGACGCUGAGGUGCGAAAGCGUGGGGAGCAAAC